ACUCAGGCACGAUCCCCAAGUGGGGAACCGACCUGAAGUAUCAAUCCUGAGGGA
rfam:Corynebacterium sp. HMSC08D02 Corynebacterium_spHMPREF3170-1.0_Cont27.1, whole genome shotgun sequence.